rnacentral:pre_miRNA from 1 species
AGAUAUGUUUGAUAUUCUUGGUUGUUCCAUGUUCAGCCUACAACCAGAUGUCAGACAUAUUAUUA